UGUGUGAAAAACUCCGGUGGUACAGGAUGGGCCCGCGUUGGAUUAGGUAGUUGGUGAGGUAACGGCCCACCAAGCCG
rnacentral:rRNA from 1 species